GGACGGGUAGCAUAACUGGUAAAUGCGCUGCAUUUUCAAUUGAAAUAUUUGUAUUAGCAUGAGAAGCGUGGUUCGAGUCCCGCUCUGUCCC